AUUGAACGCUGGCGGCAGGCCUAACACAUGCAAGUCGAGCGAGCGGCGGACGGGUGAGUAAUGUAUGGGGACUGCCCGCUAGAGGGGGAUAACUACUGGAAACGGUAGCUAAUACCGCAUACUAUCGGAUAACCCAUAUGGGAUUAGCUAGUAGGUGAGGUAAUGGCUCACCUAGGCGACGAUCCCUAGCUGGUCUGAGAGGAUGAUCAGCCACACUGGGACUGAGACACGGCCCAGACUCCUGCGGAGGCAGCAGUGGGGAAUAUUGCACAAUGGGCGCAAGCCUGAUGCAGCCAUGCCGCGUGUAUGAAGAAGGCGCUAGAGUUGUAGAGGACUUUCAGUAGGGAGGCGUUACCAGCAGAAGACGCACCAGCUAACUCCGUGGCAGCAGCCGCGGUAAUAC
rnacentral:rRNA from 1 species